rnacentral:rRNA from 1 species
UACAGAGGUCCCAAGCGUUGUUCGGAUUCACUGGGCGUAAAGGGCGCGUAGGCGGCUUUUUAAGUCAGACGUGAAAUCCCCCGGCUUAACCUGGGAACUGCGUCUGAUACUGGGAAGCUUGAGUUCGGGAGAGGGAUGUAGAAUUCCAGGUGUAGCGGUGAAAUGCGUAGAUAUCUGGAGGAAUACCGGUGGCGAAGGCGGCAUCCUGGACCGAAACUGACGCUGAGGCGCGAAAGCUAGGGGAGCAAACAGG